CAGCCGCCGCGGGAAUACAGAGGAUGCAAGCGUUAUCCGGAAUGAUUGGGCGUAAAGCGUCUGUAGGUGGCUUUUCAAGUCCGGCGUCAAAUCCCAGGGCUCAACCCUGGACAGGCGGUGGAAACUACCAAGCUGGAGUACGGUAGGGGCAGAGGGAAUUUCCAGUGGAGCGGUGAAAUGCGUUGAGAUCGAAAAGAACACCAACAGCGAAAGCACUCUGCUGGGACGACACUGACACUAAGGGACGAAAGCUAGGGGAGCAAAUGGGAUUAGAUACCCGCGUAGUCCCUGUCUCUUAUAC
rnacentral:rRNA from 1 species